AAUUUUUCAGUGUUUUUCAUAUUUUCGUACGGAACACAACGAAAACAUGUUUGGAAAAGUGUUGAAAAAUAAACAGAUGUAAUCAAAUUUUAGUGUUUCGCUACGAAAGGACUAAGUAUUAUUUGGUACGGUUGCAUAAAAGUUAUGUUUCUUCUUAAUCUCUCCGCCGUAGGUUGGAUAGGUCUAGGCUAGGUUAGGUCGCUUGACAGGGAUGAGGCAAGAGGCAAAAUGCCGCAUUAUGGAGAGUGAUUACCGUGUAAUACAUCCACACUGUUAAAAAUUAUGAUUCGAUUAAGUGUAUCAAAAUUUAAUGUAUCGAGUGAAUUUAAUAAAAAUAAAUAAAUGUUUAUAUUAACAGUC